UACGAAGGGGGCUAGCGUUGCUCGGAAUUACUGGGCGUAAAGGGCGCGUAGGCGGAUAGUUUAGUCAGAGGUAAAAGCCCAGGGCUCAACCUUGGAACUGCCUUUGAUACUGGCUAUCUUGAGUUCGGGAGAGGUGAGUGGAAUGCCGAGUGUAGAGGUGAAAUUCGUAGAUAUUCGGCGGAACACCAGUGGCGAAGGCGACUCACUGGCCCGAUACUGACGCUGAGGCGCGAAAGCGUGGGGAGCAAAC
rnacentral:rRNA from 1 species